rnacentral:rRNA from 1 species
AACCACUAGAAAUGGUGGCUAAUACCGCAUGUGCUUAACCAUUCGUUUGGUUAAGUAAAACUCAGGUGCUUCGGGAGGGGCCUGCGGUCGAUUAGCUAGUUGGUGAGGUAAUGGCUCACCAAGGCGAUAAUCGAUAGGGGGCGUGAGAGCGUGACCCCCCACACUGGAACUGAGACACGGUCCAGACUCCUACGGGAGGCAGCAGUGAGGAAUAUUGCCCAAUGGACGAAAGUCUGAGGCAGCAACGCCGCGUGGGGGAUGAAGGCCUUCGGGUCGUAAACCCCUUUUCUGUGGGAAGAGAAAGGACGGUACCACAGGAAUAAGUCUCGGCUAACUACGUGCCAGCAGCCGCGGUAAAACGUAGGAGGCGAACGUUAUCCGGAAUUACUGGGCGUAAAGCGCGCGCAGGCGGCUUCGUAAGUUCGACGUGAAAGCUCCCGGCUUAACUGGGAGAGGCCGUUGAAAACUGCGGGGCUUGAGGUUGGGAGAGGAAAGUGGAAUUCCCGGUGUAGUGGUGGAAUGCGUAGAUAUCGGGAGGAACUUCAGUGGCGAAGGCGACUUUCUGGCCUACACCUGACGCUGAGGCGCGAAAGCGUGGGGAGCGAACAGGAUUAGAUACCCUGGUAGUCCACGCUGUAAACGAUGUGAACUAGGUGUUAGUGGUAUCGACCCCACUAGUGCCGUAGCUAACGCGUUAAGUUCACCGCCUGGGGACUACGGCCGCAAGGCUAAAACUCAAAGGAAUUGACGGGGGCCCGCACAAGCAGCGGAGCGUGUGGUUUGAUUCGAUGCAACGCGAA